rnacentral:rRNA from 1 species
UACGUAGGGGGCAAGCGUUGUCCGGAUUUAUUGGGCGUAAAGAGCGUGUAGGCGGCCAGAUGGGUCAGCUGUGAAAACUCGAGGCUCAACCGAGGAACGUCGAUCGAUACUGCUGUUCUUGAGGAUUGCAGAGGAGACUGGAAUUCCCGGUGUAGCGGUGAAAUGUGUAGAGAUCGGGAGGAACACCGGUGGCGAAGGCGGGUCUCUGGGCAAGUCCUGACGCUGAGGCGCGAAAGCGUGGGGAGCAAACGGG